rnacentral:rRNA from 1 species
AGGAUAACCAAACUCUAUUUUAACGACGUUUCUUCUGAGUGGCAUAAGCAAAAUAAUCAAAACUUUUAACAACGGAUCUCUUGGUUCUGGCAUCGAUGAAGAACGCAGCGAAAUGCGAUAAGUAAUGUGAAUUGCAGAAUUCAGUGAAUCAUCGAAUCUUUGAACGCACAUUGCGCCCGCCAGCAUUCUGGCGGGCAUGCCUGUUCGAGCGUCAUUUCAACCCUCAAGCUCUGCUUGGUGUCGGGGCCCCACGGUCGACGUGGGCCCUCAAAGGUAGUGGCGGACCCUCCCGGAGCCUCCUUUGCGUAGUAACAUUUCGUCUCGCACUGGGAUCCGGAGGGACUCUUGCCGUAAAAGCCCCCAAUUCUUUCAAGGUUGACCUCGGAUCAGGUAGGAAUACCCGCUGAACUUAAGC